GAUGAACGCUGGCGGCGUGCCUAAUACAUGCAAGUAGAACGCUGAAGGAAGGAGCUUGCUCUUUCCGGAUGAGUUGCGAACGGGUGAGUAACGCGUAGGUAACCUGCCUGGUAGCGGGGGAUAACUAUUGGAAACGAUAGCUAAUACCGCAUAACAGUAGAUGUUGCAUGAUAUCUACUUAAAAGGUGCAAUUGCACCACUACCAGAUGGACCUGCGUUGUAUUAGCUAGUUGGUGAGGUAACGGCUCACCAAGGCGACGAUACAUAGCCGACCUGAGAGGGUGAGCGGCCACACUGGGACUGAGACACGGCCCAGACUCCUACGGGAGGCAGCAGUAGGGAAUCUUCGGCAAUGGACGGAAGUCUGACCGAGCAACGCCGCGUGAGUGAAGAAGGUUUUCGGAUCGUAAAGCUCUGUUGUAAGAGAAGAACGAGUGUGAGAGUGGAAAGUUCACACUGUGACGGUAUCUUACCAGAAAGGGACGGCUAACUACGUG
rnacentral:rRNA from 1 species